rnacentral:lncRNA from 9 species
UAGAGAUCCCUCACCAGGGGCAUAGAAUGCACCUCCUGUUUCUAUGUGACUCACGACAUCUGGCAAGUGCUGGACACACAGUGGAGACUCACCUGUUAUUCCUUUAUUGGCCAAUUACAUCACAAUGAAGCAGAACUCAAGGUUCAGAACUGAGGCAUAAACCAUGCUUAGAUUUCAUAUACCUUUGAUGUUCUUGCCUUCUCCGGAAUGCAAUCCACAUCUUGCCUCAUAUGGGUAAACUUUAUUUUUAAAUUUUCAUGUAUUUCAUUUAGUUCAUCAGCAAGUAUUUGUUUGGGGUGGGAGCUAGUUGCUGAGCAGAUUCCCCCACCUCCCUCAUUCAACUCCACCUGUUUGUUGGCUUGGGGAAAGACACUGGUCCAGAUGGACCCCAUGCCUGUCCUUAGUGAGUCCUCAACUCACUUAGACCAUCUGGAGACUCUGGAGGAAGCCCCUCCGUCACCUGGGCUCACCUCAUUUAGGCACCUGCUAAAAUUACCAUGGCACAUUUGCUUUUCAACCCCACUCCAGAUGCCUCCCCAAGACAUAACGGAUGCCCAGGAACAAGGCCUCUGCAGAACUCCAGAGCUUUUACGUGCAAUCAGAACAGCAGCAGAACUUUUAAACUGUGAAACAAUGAAUCAAGAGAGGAUGAAUCAAACGAGAAAUGGCACUGUUCUUCCUUCCUCCUUCUCCCGUGUCAUGUCCAUGCUGUCCAGGAUGCCACUGAUGAGGCUGAAUUGAAACCUCUCCCAGCAGAACCACGAGCUUCUUUUCAAGAGCAUCCCAGCACCUGGACAGCACAGAGCAUGGAAGGUGCUCUGUAUUCAACUGAAUGAAGAAAAUCUUCUGUACAUUCUCAAGUGUCCAAAGACAAUAAAACACGACUAAAUCUCGAGCUUUCUUUAAA